rnacentral:rRNA from 1 species
CCUACGGGAGGCAGCAGUGGGGAAUAUUGGGCAAUGGGCGCAAGCCUGACCCAGCAACGCCGCGAGAAGGAAGAAGGCUUUCGGGUUGUACACUUCUUUUGACAGGGAAGAGUAGAAGACGGUACCUGUCGAAUAAGCCACGGCUAACUACGUGUCAUCAGACGCGGUAAUACGUAGGUGGCAAGCGUGGUCCGGGUUUACUGGGGGUAAAGGGCGGGUAGCCGGGUUGACAAGUCAGAUGUGAAAUCAUGCGGCUUAACCGAAGAACUGCAUUUGAAACUGUUGAUCUUGAGUACUGGAGGGGCAGACGGAAUUCCUGGUGUCGCGGUGAAAUGCGUCGAUAUUAGGAGGAACCCCAGUGGCGACGGCGGUCUGCUGGACAGCAACUGACGGUGAGGCGCGAAAGCGUGGGGCGCAAACAGAAUUGGUUACCCCAGUUGU